AUUUCUAUUGUCCUUGUUUCUUUCUAAAUCACUGAUGGUGUUAAUUUCUGUCUUGUUAGUACUAAUUUGAAGAGCCCAUAGCACUACUGGAGCUGGACACAAGUAAUGGAGUUUUAUUGCCUUUUUAUGAUCCAGACACUAACAUUGUGUAUCUCAGUGGCAAGGGUGACAGCAGUAUUCGGUAUUUUGAGAUCACAGAGGAGCCUCCCUAUGUGCAUUACAUCAGCACAUUCAGUAGCAAGGAGCCACAGAGAGGAAUGGGCUUCAUGCCCAAGAGAGGAGUGGACGUCAGCAAGUGUGAGAUUGCCAGAUUAUAUAAACUCCAUGAAAGAAAGUGUGAGCCUAUUAUGAUGACAGUACCCAGAAAGGUAAGCACAUACUCUUUGUUUAGGGUUAUUUCAAACCUGAACCACUAUGAACACAAAAUUGAAGUAUUGAGAGAGAGUUGAUUAUAUGAGUUGAUUAUAUGAUGAUGAAGAACAGCGGCAUGUGAUUUAGUACUGUCCUGAGUAAGAUAUUUUACAUAACAGAUGUUUACAUAUAGUCCACAAGAAAAAAAAUAAAAUAAAAAAAUAACCCCCUUUAAACGUUUGGGAACCCCUGGUCCUUAAAGGGUUAGUUCACCCAAAAAUUUAAUUAGGCUGUGUUUACUUACCCCAGAGGCAUCCUAGGUGUAUAUGGCUUUCUUCUUUCAGAUGAAUCUAGUCUGUUAUAUUAAAAAACUGUCUUGGCUAUUCCAAAGCUCUAUCAUUGCAGACAGCAGGGGGUUGCAGUGCUUCAGUCCAAAAAGAAGUUAAAUAAAAAAAGCACCCCAUCCAUAAAAAAAAGUAAGUCUCUACAUCCGGGGGGGGAACGAAUCGAUGCAUUUUUGUAAGAAAAAUAUCCAUAUUCAAAAAGCAAUAAUCACUUUAAUGUAGCUUGCGCUCACUGUUGUAAACGGAAGCAGUUCUGGGCCGAUGACGUAUGGAGGUCAGCUUUGCACAUGCGCCACUCAGAAGUAAUGCACGCAGAAAUGCAGUGAAGAGAUCAAAACAAAACAACGGUCACGAAUUAGAAGUAAAAACGAGGAUUUGUAAAGAAGAAUGUCAGAGGAUUUCAAUAUAAGCCAAGAGGAGACUGGUUUUCCUUUGCUAAAGUAAGGAAAUUUUGCUUCCUAUGAUCCUGUAAUAAAACGUUGGUUUUCACAAGACUCACUGGCACUGCAACACUGCAACACCUGCUGACUGCAAUGAUAGAGCUUGGAAUAGCCAGGACAAGUUUCAAUAUAACUCCGACUGGAUUCGUCUGAAAGAAGAAAGUCAUAUACACCUAGGAUGCCUCUGGGGUGAGUAAAACUUUCAUUUUUGGAUGAACAAACCCUUUAAAAGUGUAUAUGUUCUUCCCAACCAGUGAAAACGU
rnacentral:lncRNA from 1 species